GAUGAACGCUGGCGGCGUGCUUAACACAUGCAAGUCGAACGAAGCGCUUUGAUCGAUUUCUUCGGAUUGAAAUUUUAGUGACUGAGUGGCGGACGGGUGAGUAACGCGUGGGUAACCUGCCUCACACAGGGGGAUAACAGUUGGAAACGGCUGCUAAUACCGCAUAAGCGCACAGUACCGCAUGGUACAGUGUGAAAAACUCCGGUGGUGUGAGAUGGACCCGCGUCUGAUUAGCUAGUUGGCAGGGCAACGGCCUACCAAGGCGACGAUCAGUAGCGACCUGANAGGGUGACCGGCACAUUGGGAUUGAGACACGGCCC
rnacentral:rRNA from 1 species